AACGAACGCUGGCGGCAGGAUUAACACAUGCAAGUCGAGCGCCCCGCAAGGGGAGCGGCAGACGGGUGAGUAACGCGUGGGAAUCUACCCAUCUCUACGGAAUAACGCAUGGAAACGUGUGCUAAUACCGUAUACGUCCUUCGGGAGAAGGAUUUAUCGGAGAUGGAUGAGCCCGCGUUGGAUUAGCUAGUUGGUGGGGUAAAGGCCUACCAAGGCGACGAUCCAUAGCUGGUCUGAGAGGAUGAUCAGCCACACUGGGACUGAGACACGGCCCAGACUCCUACGGGAGGCAGCAGUGGGGAAUAUUGGACAAUGGGCGCAAGCCUGAUCCAGCCAUGCCGCGUGAGUGAUGAAGGCCCCAGGGCUGUAAAGCUCUUUCACCGGUGAAGAUAGUGACGGUAACCGGAGAAGAAGCCCCGGCUAACUUCGUGCCAGCCGCCGCCGUAA
rnacentral:rRNA from 1 species